AUAUGUCUAUCAAAAGCAUGGA
rnacentral:siRNA from 1 species